rnacentral:lncRNA from 1 species
AGUUCAAGAAUUUUCAACAUUAUUUUUAAAAGCUUUUAGAGUAUGUUAAAAUAGCUUUGUUGAAGAAAUUACCUGAGUGCAACUACAGUCUACAGCUUAGACGAAUAACAAUGAAAUCCUUUCUAUAUUAUAUGUCAUCUAUAGGAGUAUAUUUUAAGGAAUAAAGUUCUUUAAUUUUAUCUAUUGAAACUCUAAACUGAGUCUGUCAGAGAAGAAAACAAAUUUUCAAACAUUAAAUGUUGGCUUAGUACAUGUGGUGAACUGAAACUCCCCCAAAUUCAUGUCUACCUGUAACCUGAGAAUGUACUUUUAUUUAGGAAUAGAAUCUUUGGAGAUGUAAUUAAGGUAAGGAUCCAGAUAAGAUCAUACCAGAAUAAAAAGGGCCUAAAUCCAAUGAGAGUGUUCUUAUAAGAGAUAAAACAGAACAGAGACAUACAGAGAAGGUGAUAUAAACACUGAGGCAGAGAUUACAUUUAUGCUGCCAAAAACCAAAGGACACCGGGAGUCACCAGAAGCUGGGAGGAGAGACAAGAAAGGAUCCUCCCUCAAAGCCUUGGGAAGAGAGUGACCCUGCUAACACCUUGAUUUUAGACUUCUGUCCUCCAGAAUUGUGAAAGAGUACUCUUCUAUUGUUUUAAGCCACUAAGUUUGUGGUAAAUUGUUAUGGCAGCCCUAGAAUCUACCACACUCUCAUUACCUAAUGCAGAAAUAUAUAGAAAGUUGAAAAAGAAGACGAUUUUUUUAUCAAGCAGAUUUAUAAUAUAGUAAGGCAAAACCAAUGAGGAUAUAACUAAUGACUAGCUAAACUAUUAAAAACUUUCCAGGUAUUCAUGAACAUUCAUUCUUUAGACCAUUCUUCCUCCACAUAGGAGGGGGACCAAGCACCCCUUUCACAGCUCUGAUAACUAGAAUAGUUUCCUUUCAAUGCUUUUGUUUAGGAUCUUGCUUGUUUGAGCUUCAUUAUAGUAGUAGUUGUUGUUGUUGUUGUUGUCAUUAGUCUGUUUUUAAUCGACCUACCAACUUAGUGUGCUGAACCAUGUGUGAACAGGGCUCAAUUUAUUUCUCCUCUGUUAAUCACUCAUAAGUAGACCCUGAUGAUGCCACAGGUGUAAGCUGACAGAGACGUUUCUGCAAGAGAUAUGUGAUUAGGUACUCUAGGCCGCAGUCAUGAAAUUUACUUGUGCCCUCAAUAUCUGCUCAGGCCCAAUCUUGAACGUAACGUUCUAAUAUUGGCCAGCUUUAUAACAUGAUGUAUUUAAUGAUAUCAAUGUAUGAUGAGAGUUUCAGCCUUAUCUUUGCUUGGUGAGUGGUCAGGCAUUCCAUUUCUACUAGGGCCUACCCAUAUACCAAGACCUGCUUCUUAAAUGGUAAGUGAUUUUUUUUUCCCCACAGAAAACAUGGUCUUUCUCUAGAACCUUAAAUAUCUACACUGACAAAUAAUCUCUUAUAUAAAUUGCCAGAGAUGCCAUAUUACUUACAUCUCUAGAAUCAUCAUAUAUUCUAAAAUAUUCUAAGCCAUCAAGUCAGCUUUCCCUACAGCUUUCACAUGCUGAAAUACCCUGGCUUACUCUAAACCCCACUCAAAAUUGACAACAUUUUGAGGCAUCCAACAAAAACAUUAAAGUAAAAUUUUCAAAUAGUGCAUAUACUUUGCCUUCAGAAUCUAAAAUGGCUCACCAGGCAGAGUGACUCUUAAUGAUAGAGGAUGUAAAGUAUAAUAUUCUGUCUUUACAUUAAAGGUGAAGUUUCAGGAAGCCUCAGAUGAUGGUGCUCCUAAAAACUUCAAAUUUACUAACAUGACAGACUCCUAAAUCUGUGUAUGCUUAUCUCCCACCCUAUGGCUCACCUAUAUUUUAUAGGAUAUCCAGGACACUUCCAAUUUUCCUUCUAAAUUGUCCAGUUAUGACAGCUUUUUCAAAAUAGUGGACCAACAUGAUAUUCUUCACAAUGUCAAGAUCAAAGACCCUGCAGGUUGUAUUGUGACUGAGAAUAGAUGUAAUAUAGCUUUUGGAAAGUGGGUUAGUUUAUUACACUCACCUUCCACCAAAAUAGCAAAUGAUUUUGAUGCUCUCUAUCAAUAAAGAUUAAAAGAAUGUAUUCACCAAAUAUCAUAGCAAAUGCCAAAGGAAAUGUUGAUCUGUUCUUGUAAAUAUGUAUCAUCUCACAUUAUAGUUGUUACACUGAGAACUAUCCCUUAUUUAUAUUUAUGGUACAUCAUCAUCCACCAUGAUCUGUGGUUUUUUGCAGGGGACAAAAAGUAACUGAAUGGGGAUAUGAUAGAGACCACUGCUCUUAAAUCUUUAUAGUCUAAUAUGGUGCAUUCCUCCCAAGAUAAUACAUUACUUCUGAUUUUGUCUCUUGGCUGGAGAAGUAGGCAGUUUCAAGAGUUUCUCUUAGUCCUUCUUAGCAUAAUGAUUCUUAGUGAUGAGCUACCUCAAUGCUUUAACUAUCUAUACAAAUUAAGAACUAGCAGCUGUGAAAAUGGUUAUGUAGUGGGUCAGUGAAUACUGUGUGCUGGAUGCGUGGUGAAUUGGGACAGAAUUUUAUUCAAUACAUAGGUUAUUUUCUAUCCCACUCUAAGAGGAGUAAGCUUAAAGUACUUUGAUAAAGUAUAUGUCCUAGAAAUGUCUGAAUAUAUCUCUUUCCUCAAAAUACAAUUUGUUUGUAAUUGGCUACAUGUUGCUUUACAAAACACCGAGAAAAUAUUGUUGUAUAUGCUAUUGUGUCAUCAUACAAUCUUUCUUUAGAGGGACUCAUUUUUUCAUAGUUAAUGGACUAAAACCCUAAGAGUGGACUAAUAUCUGAAAAGUGGUUGAAAAUUUUUAAUUUUUUACUAUACUAAAGGACAUCAGCCUUUCAGUUUUCUAGAUAUUUUCCAGAGGUUCUUAACAUUUUUUGAAAAUACAAGUCUAGUAUUACACAUCUUUUAGCCUUACGACCCCUUCUGCCACUCACUGAUAGGACAAUUUUGGCAUUCCUAUUUUAUUUACCAUAAGACAUCAUUCAGCUUUCAAGCUUUAACUGGACAUCUGAACACCAUAUCAGGACCAACAUCUGGUCCAUGCUAGGACAUAAAUUUCUGACUCACAAAAGAUUACUGAAUCUUGCUCUAUCCAGUUUUAUAUUCCCCUUGUCCGAUACUUACAGUAUCAACUUCCAUGUAUGUUCACUUUGAUCCUGCCAGGGAUGUACUGGGCAGGUCUUACAAUCCUCUGGGUAUAUAUACAAUUUUCUUCCAUAAGUGGAAUUUCAUUGUUCCUCAAGCUAUGCUGUUAUUUGACCUUAGUCAUUGGUGUAGUAACAAUAAACAGAGGUAGAGGAGAAUCUUAGAGAACAAUCAUUAAUUUGUGAGCCUUAUCAAAUUUUUAUACAAGGGAGGGGGUAUGAGGGGAAAGACAUCCUCUUUCAAUGAUAUAGGUGCUGCUUCCAUUAGCAUGGAGAUUCAAAGCAAAUUCUCAGUUCAUGAAUUUUAGGUUCUUUAUUCAAACAUCCUCAUUCCAGACAAGCCUCAGAGUACUACUUCUCUUAUCUGGGAGCUGAAUUAAAUUUAUACCUAUGAAAUUCCUCUAUCCUUACAACAAAUUCCUCUUCCCAAUUUUUGGCCUAGUCAACCCUGUAGGAUACAAUGUCUCUAAAUUCUGCUGUGGAAGCCUUCUGAGUUUACAUUAUGCCUUGGAUUUUAUGUGCUAUAAUCUAAAUAUGUCCUUUUCUUUUUUAAAGGCUUACAAUCCAUUAAUAACAACAACCACAACAAUCACCUAAAUUCACAACCUUGUAAUUACCACUGACCCCAUUCCUUUUAAUACACUACUAUCAUAUAAGCCUCUACUUUGACUAAUAUCUGCCUCUAAAACCAAGUAUUGCUGAUUGUGAUACUACUACAUUCUAAGGCUUUUCAUCUUCCUAAUUACUUCUAGUAAUACAAUCCUUAACAUCCCCAUGUAACAGACAAGUGAUAAAGUCCUACCAUACCAAAAUCAGUAUGGGAUUUUCAAUGUCACAUCUGUUUUUUCUCUUUGUAUUUUUUUGUUUUUUUGUCUUUUGUCUUUUUUUAGGGCCACAUCACAGCAUAUGGAGGUUCUCAGGCCCGGGGUUGAAUCGGAGCUGUUGCUGCCGGCCUAUGCCAGAAGCACAGCAACACCAGAUCCAAGCCACGUCUGCGACCUACACCACAGCUCACUGCAAUACUGGAUCUUAAUCCACUGAGUGAGGCCAGGGAUCAAACCUGCAACCUCAUGAUUCCUAGUCAGAUUCAUUUCCACUGCACCACAACAGUAACUUCCCACAUCUGUUUUUCAAUACUCUAUCUUUGUUAUCCAUAGAAAGCAGAACCUGAACCAGCGGCUUUUAGGAAGGUAGUUUAUUUGGGAUGUAAUUUCAAAGAAGAGCUAUGGAGAUCACUGUUGCCAACAGGAGCUCAUACUGCUGUGAACCUCUAAAGAAUAUGCAAAAAAACACCUGCAAAUUGUACCACUGAAACACUGGAGAGGAGGAUACUUUCCUACUUAUUACCACCUUCCUUGUUCAAGGGCUGUCCCAUGAGUUGUUAACUUCUAAGUACUUACAGGUUUGUGUAUGGGAGAGUAAACACACUGCAUGGAGGCAGUUAAACACUAAGCAGAAAGUUAAAAUUAUAAGGUACAAACUGAUGAAAGGUGUUGUCAAGUUACAGUUAUACAAAGAUGAUAACCAUAGCAACUUUUAGACUAAAAUGUAGUUCUGGAGCACUGGUUCCCAAACUUUAUUAUACAACAGAAUCACCAGGAGAAUUUAUUAAAACGCAUAGUCUUGGUUCCACUCUCAGAGUUUCUGAUUUAGAAGGUCUUUGAUAGCUCCUGAAAAUAUGACUUUUUAAUAAGUUCCCUGAUGUUAAUUCUAAAGUUCCUGGGACCAAUGUCCUAAAGGAUGUAAGGUGGAAAACAGGAAUUGUUUUGUAUGAAAAAUACAACAGUUUAUUCAAGUAAGAUAUUUAAUGAAUAAAAAACAAUUGUUUCAAGAGUAUUUGGAUAUAGAAUAUGCACAUGAUCUCAAAAUAUCACCUUCUAAAUUGCUUAUUAAUUGAAAGGAGACCUUAUAUAUUUGAGAGACCUGGGCAAUACUAUUCAGUCAAAUGAUCCAAUUUAGCAUCACUGAUAAUGGAGCAUACUGAUAUGAUGCGUUUUCUCAUUUAAUAAAAUAGGGAUAACACACACAUUAUUAACCAGGUAGGGUUAUUAGCCAUUGUCUAAUUUGAAUUUGUAAUGAGGAAGACAACUGACCUAGAUUCUUAAAUGUAAACAUAUCAGAUAAAGCAAAAUUGUAGGGUAUUACACUAUAAGAACACCAAAGAAACAUAAUGAUAAACUCAGUAUGUAAGCCUUGAGUAAAACUUGUGGUGAGGAACGCAGAUGGAAAAGAUACAAUUGGUCCAAAUAGCCAAAUUUAAAUAAAGACCCUCUUUUAGUCGACAUUAAUAUAUCAAUGCUAAAUUUUAUAUAUAUGAUAAUUGUAUUAUGACUUUAUAGGUGAAUACUCUUAUUUUAGACAAUACAUACAGAAGUAUUUACAGGAGAAAUUCCAUGACACACAUAUUUUUAGAUAUUCAGCAAAAAAAUAAUAGAAAAUAUGUUUAGGAAUAGAUAGAAAUAGAUAACACAAACUAUUAACACAUCAAAUCUAGUUAAAAGAGUAUAUAAGUGGUCUUUAUAUAAUUUCUUCAAUUUUCUAUACAUCUGAAAUCUUUGAAAAUAAAUAAAUUAGAAAAAAAUACAAGAUAUACAAUGAUGAGCACUAUCACAUAAACUCUAAGAACAUUCUGAAAUUAUUCAAAGGUGUAACAGAUAAAUCCUAGAAUGAGAAAUUGGAGGAAGUUUCAACCAAACUGACAAAUCUGCGUGAACUCCUGAAAAUCAUAUAAUUUCAACAGGCAGAUAUGGAAGAGAGAAACACUCCAGAAAGGAUAAUGAUAUGGGCUAAAUAUGAAAUGAUAAUUCUCAAUAUUAUUAUUAUUGCUAUGAACAAUAACAUUCAUGACUAACAUGUUCAAGGCAUUAAAUGAUUCUAAGAAAACUGAGAUAAAUUAGCCAGUACCUUGAAAGAAUUAGUAGAAGAUUUGAUAAGUUAUAUUAGGUGAGAACAAUGUAUUAUUUAUAAACAGAGGAAUAAUUUAACCAUCUUCCAGGUGGACUAUGACCAACCCACAAAAAAAUCCCAAAUAUAUUAAGCUAAUUAAGCUAGAAAUUAUUUUGAGUGGGUCAAUUAGUAUUAUCCCAUCACUAAUAAACUCUUGCCAAGCAGAGAAUGUUAUCUUUAAAUUAGCCUUAUAAAAGGGUAGCCUAUAAGUCCCCUUAGGGCACAAUUUAGUACAAAUGAAUAUUAGAUAAAUUUGUAACAAUCAACUGAAACAGAAUUGUCCUAUUUAUUUUUAAAGCAAAUCUCUAUAAUAAACGUAGACAUUCUAAGAGUUCUUGCUUUGUGUAACAGGUUAAGGAUCCAGUGUUGUCUCUAUGACAGCAUGGGUUCUAUCCUCUGCCUGGCAUAAUGAGUUAAGGAUCCAAUAUUGUCACAGAUGUGCUGUAAGCUGCAGCUGCAGCCUGAGAACUUCCAUAUGCUGUGGAUGCAG